rnacentral:rRNA from 1 species
GACGAACGCUGGCGGCGUGCUUAACACAUGCAAGUCGAACGGAAAGGCCCUGCUUUUGUGGGGUGCUCGAGUGGCGAACGGGUGAGUAACACGUGAGUAACCUGCCCUUGAUUUUGGGAUAACUUCAGGAAACUGGGGCUAAUACCGGAUAGGAGCUCCUGCUGCAUGGUGGGGGUUGGAAAGUUUCGGCGGUUGGGGAUGGACUCGCGGCUUAUCAGUUUGUUGGUGGGGUAGUGGCUUACCAAGGCUUUGACGGGUAGCCGGCCUGAGAGGGUGACCGGCCACAUUGGGACUGAGAUACGACCCAGACUCCUACGGGAGGCAGCAGUGGGAAAUAUUGCACAAUGGGCGGAAGCCUGAUGCAGCAACGCCGCGUGCGGGAUGACGGCCUUCGGAUUGUAAGCCGCUUUCGCCUGUGACGAAGCGUGAGUGACGGUAAUGGGUAAAGAAGCACCGGCUAACUACGUG